AGAGUUUGAUCCUGGCUCAGAUUGAACGCUGGCGGUAUGCUUUACACAUGCAAGUCGAACGGCAGCACGGGGCAACCUGGUGGCGAGUGGCGAACGGGUGAGUAACAUAUCGGAACAUAUCCGGAAGUGGGGGAUAACGUAGCGAAAGUUACGCUAAUACCGCAUAUGCCCUGAGGGGGAAAGGGGGGGAUCGCAAGACCUCUCGCUUUCGGAGUGGCCGAUAUCGGAUUAGCUAGAUGGUGAGGUAAAGGCUCACCAUGGCGACGAUCCGUAGCGGGUCUGAGAGGACGACCCGCCACACUGGAACUGAGACACGGUCCAGACUCCUACGGGAGGCAGCAGUGGGGAAUUUUGGACAAUGGGCGCAAGCCUGAUCCAGCCAUACCGCGUGAGUGAAGAAGGCCUUCGGGUUGUAAAGCUCUUUCAGCCGGAAAGAAAUCGCACUUUUUAAUACGGAGUGUGGAUGACGGUACCGGAAGAAAGAAGCACCGGCUAACUACGUGCCAGCCGCCGCGGU
rnacentral:rRNA from 1 species